UCCAGACUCCUACGGGAGGCAGCAGUGGGGGAUAUUGCACAAUGGGGGAAACCCUGAUGCAGCGACGCCGCGUGAGUGAAGAAGUAUUUCGGUAUGUAAAGCUCUAUCAGCAGGGAAGAAAAAAGACGGUACCUGACUAAGAAGCCCCGGCUAACUACGUGCCAGCAGCCGCGGUAAUACGUAGGGGGCAAGCGUUAUCCGGAUUUACUGGGUGUAAAGGGAGCGUAGACGGCAAUACAAGUCGGAAGUGAAAUACCCGGGCUUAACCUGGGAACUGCUUUGGAAACUGUAUGGCUGGAGUGCUGGAGAGGUAAGCGGAAUUCCUAGUGUAGCGGUGAAAUGCGUAGAUAUUAGGAGGAACACCAGUGGCGAAGGCGGCUUACUGGACAGUAACUGACGUUGAGGCUCGAAAGCGUGGGGAGCAAACAGGAUUAGAUACCCUUGUA
rnacentral:rRNA from 1 species